UCCCCAAUGACUCAGCAGGUAAAGAAUUUGCCUGCAAUGCAGGAGACUCAGGUUCAAUUCCUGGUUCAGGAA
rnacentral:tRNA from 1 species